rnacentral:rRNA from 1 species
UACGUAGGGUGCAAGCGUUAUCCGGAAUUAUUGGGCGUAAAGAGCUCGUAGGCGGUUUGUCGCGUCUGCUGUGAAAUCCCGAGGCUCAACCUCGGGCCUGCAGUGGGUACGGGCAGACUAGAGUGCGGUAGGGGAGAUUGGAAUUCCUGGUGUAGCGGUGGAAUGCGCAGAUAUCAGGAGGAACACCGAUGGCGAAGGCAGAUCUCUGGGCCGAUACUGACGCUGAGGAGCGAAAGCGUGGGGAGCAAACAGG